GUGACACCGCAGGGUUUGCAGGCAAACGUACUCUUCAAUAGAGAUUAUCUCUGUCAAACAGUGCAUUACAGCGACCAGGCAUUCCUGUGGAAACAUGUUUGCUUAGGACCCAGGAGAGAUGGCUGAAGGGCUUCUCCCUGACUCACUCAACUGAAGAGCUCGGUUGCAUCAUUGUUAUACCCCAGCAUGCCCAAAGAUGACCGCCCCCAACACCCAACUAGCACAACAUACUACAGAACACUUCCUAAUUACGAGGGGUUCGAGACGUUUCCCUGUGUUUGCCAACUUAUAACACGAGCAAAAAGGAUGUUUACAUUCUUACUACUUCAGGGUGACCGCGGCAUAGUCGCUCUAACCAACACUGUCCGAAACAGGCGUAAACAAUUCUGUUUCGUUCACCCAUUCAAAUAAAUAGAAUCCAACGGGUUAAUUUGGGUCGAUCGCUGACGGUACCGUCCGAGGCUAUUCGGUAGUUUCUGAUGCGCGGGGAAAAAACACCCCUCCGUCUUACAUUCGCCCUGGUAGAGGGCGGUAGUUUUUCGUGAAUAUUUGCUGUCAGCCAAGCGCGACACCAGGGCGAGACCGCUUCUGCAGAAUGGGGAAGAAGAUACCGCGAGCCAAAGUGCAAAGCGAAUCGUCUACAACUAUUAUUUGUCCCGGGCUUUAUUAAGCUGAUGGAUAAUGUGCAUUAGAACAAUGUGUAAUAAAUACGCUGGCACUUUAGCACUCUGCACUUUAUACGGAAACCUUCACUUGCAUUGUGAAGUCAAACGCAAUAGAGCAAAUGGCCCUUUAUUCCACAGACUGAAGCAUCAGGUUGUCAGUGUUGAAAUGGUUGUCAUUUUUUUUUGUCUUUUUUUUUUUUUUGUAUGUUGUGAUGUUCUGUAAUGUAUUUUUAUAUAAAGCUACCAAGCACUAUGCCCAAGCCAAAUUUCCUCAUAGGGACAAUGAAGUUUAAUGUAAUCUAAUCUAAUCUAAUGGGGAUUAAGUGUUUCAGGAUUACUUGAUGUUUUAGCAAGUAGGGCCCUAUUUACUUAAUAGAUUUUUUGUUUCUUCUUUGAUUUAAUACUGUGUAAUACCUGUCAGCACACAAGCUAAUUUAUGUAGGCCUAUCUUAAUUUAACCUUCAUUGCUGUUACACUGGUAUGAUAUGACCUGUGCAUUGAUAUACCAAUAAUAUACUCAAUAAAUCUGUAAUGAAAUGUG